UACAGAGGGGGCUAGCGUUAUUCGGAAUUAUUGGGCGUAAAGGGCGCGUAGGCGGCCAUGCGUGUCUUCCGUGAAAUCCCUCGGCUUAACUGAGGACGUGCGGAAGAAACUGCAAGGCUCGAGUCCGGGAGAGGGGGGUGGAAUUCCCAGUGUAGCGGUGAAAUGCGUAGAUAUCUGGAGGAACACCGGUGGCGAAGGCGGCAUUCUGGACUGUAACUGACACUGAGGAACGAAAGCCAGGGGAGCAAACGGG
rnacentral:rRNA from 1 species